rnacentral:sRNA from 1 species
UAUAACGAGUUAAUGCGUUAAGCGUGUUUUAUGCUGGCUUUCAUUCGCAGGAGUAUUACUACUUUAGAGGGAGGGGGUAUUGCGUCGUAUCAAACCGAGGGUAUAAAAAAAGCGCCAAAAGGCGCUUUUUUGU